GCGAUGUUCGUCUAGUGGCUAGGACCUCACGUUGUGGCCGUGAAAACGGGAGUUCGAUUCUCCCACAUCGCA